AUGGCACCCAGUACCUGCACUCCGGAGGAGCCCAAGCCAAAGAGAGGAAGAAGAUCACAGACGCAUAAAAGAACCACCACCCACACUUGUUUUUACGCGGGCUGCGGCAAAACCUAUACAAAGAGUUCACAUUUCAAGGCACAUCUGCGAACCCACACAGGUGAGAAACCCUACCACUGUGACUGGGAUGGCUGUGGGUGGAAAUUCACCCGGUCCAAUGAACUGACCAGGCACUACCGCAAACACACCGGGCAACGCCCGUUCCAGUGCCAGAAGUGCGACCGUGCAUUUUCUAGGUCGGACCACCUCGCCUUACACAUGAAGAAGCACAUUUAAGUCUCAAACAAUGGGUAUGACCCACACUGCCAGAAGAGAAUUCAGUAUUUUAUAUCUUUCACCUUAUCUUCCCAAGGAGGAAGGGAAGAGUCCUGCGAGAAAGCACGACAAUCAUGGUCAAGUUCCCUGCUGGCUCACCUUGGGAAUGAAUGGUCAAGAAACAUGAGGAAGCCAAAAGUCAAAAAUCAAAGAACAGAUUGGGUCUGUGACUGGAUUUUCUAUCAUUCCAACUCUAAAUCCAACUUGAAUAUUCCUGGACUUAACGAAAU